UACAGAGGUCUCAAGCGUUGUUCGGAUUCAUUGGGCGUAAAGGGUGCGUAGGUGGCGGGGCAAGUUUGGUGUGAAAUCCCGGGGCUCAACCUCGGAACUGCACUGAAUACUGCCUUGCUAGAGCACUGGAGAGGGAACUGGAAUUUACGGUGUAGCAGUGAAAUGCGUAGAUAUCGUAAGGAAGACCAGUGGCGAAGGCGAGUUCCUGGGACAGUUGCUGACACUGAGGCACGAAGGCUAGGGGAGCAAACGGG
rnacentral:rRNA from 1 species